rnacentral:rRNA from 1 species
GACGAACGCUGGCGGCGUGCCUAAUACAUGCAAGUCGAGCGCAGGAAAUCAUCCGAACCUUUCGGGGGGACGUUGAUGGAAUGAGCGGCGGACGGGUGAGUAACACGUAAAGAACCUGCCCUCAGGUCUGGGAUAACCACGAGAAAUCGGGGCUAAUACCGGAUGGGUCAUCGGACCGCAUGGUCCGAGGAUGAAAGGCGCUUCGGCGUCGCCUGGGGAUGGCUUUGCGGUGCAUUAGCUAGUUGGUGGGGUAAUGGCCCACCAAGGCGACGAUGCAUAGCGGACCUGAGAGGGUGAUCGGCCACACUAGGACUGAGACACGGCCCAGACUCCUACGGGAGGCAGCAGUAGGGAAUCUUCCACAAUGGACGAAAGUCUGAUGGAGCAACGCCGCGUGAACGAUGAAGGCCUUCGGGUCGUAAAGUUCUGUUGUAAGGGAAGAACAAGUGCCGCAGGCAAUGGCGGCACCUUGACGGUACCUUGCGAGAAAGCCACGGCUAACUACGUGCCAGCCGCCGCGGUAA